rnacentral:rRNA from 1 species
UACGGAGGGUGCGAGCGUUGUCCGGAAUCAUUGGGCGUAAAGGGCGCGUAGGUGGCCCGGUCAGUCUUUGGUGAAAGCGCGGGGCUCAACCCUGCGUCGGCCAGGGAUACUGCCGCGGCUCGAGCACUGUAGAGGCAGGCGGAAUUCCGGGUGUAGCGGUGGAAUGCGCAGAUAUCAGGAGGAACACCGGUGGCGAAGGCGGGUCUCUGGGCAGUAACUGACGCUGAGGAGCGAAAGCGUGGGGAGCGAACAGG